rnacentral:lncRNA from 1 species
GGGGCAAAGUCGAGGGACUCGGAUCGUUCUUCUUGAACCGAAUGGUCAAGGUCGAUGAUGAAGAGAAGCUCGUUUGGAGCUCCGAUGGGUGGAUCGAGAGACUUGAGGAUCUUCUUCUGGGCUAGUAGGGCAGGACUGGUUGCUCCUCCUCAGGCUCCUCGAGGGAGGAGGAAGAUCAGCGUGACUGAGAUCGAAUGAUUGCUCAACACAUGAGCGGGCUGAUGAGUUGACGGCUGUAGACCAUGCACUAAGGUGGUCAAUGCUGGGACCUACUGCAGAAGCUGCUAGAAUUGCUCAAAGGUGACGGUCAAGGUAGUCGACACCUCCAAAAUAUUAAGAUCCUGAUGACCCUGAUCAAGAUCAGUGGGUUCCACAAGUGAUAGGAUC